GACCCAGUAGCGGAAGGUUCGCGCCCGCACCGUAUAUGAAAGGAGUGUGCAAGAAGCCAGCGGGUGGCCCUGGUUCGAUUCCAGGCUGGGUCA